ensembl:lncRNA
AUUCAGCACACAAUAGCUGUGAUUGAUGUCUAUGCUUUAGGACCUUUCCUGUUCUGCUCCUGCAGCAUUCCUCUCCACGCUCAUCCGAGCCACUAAGGCAUUGAGUUUAAGCUGGGUGGAGUACAAAUUCUGUUAAUAGGUUUCCAAGGAACUGUGGCCUUUGAUAAGACAGGAAACAGAGGCAACAUCAAAGGGAAUAGGUGGAAAGUUGGUGCCUCAGUUUCCAUGUAUGUUCCAUUAGUGUGUCUUAAGUGUACAGUCAGUGCAACUAACAGGACUUCCAGGACCAAUCAGUGUGAUGGAAAAUCCAUUAACAGUUAAAUACUAUAAGCAUUUAGAAGGAUGUUGGGUCUUGUGUUACAUCUGAUGAAAACUACAUACAGUAUAUUCACAGUGCAGUUACAUCAUCAGUUUCUGCUCACGUUGUCAGUUUUAUUUACACCCAAAGAAAUGUUGUUUUUCUGCUCAGAAUCUCAUUUUAAUUACGUGAAAGUGCUCCUGCUGUGUUAACAUGCUCUCUGGCACCCCUCAGUGUUGAUGCUGGGCCUGUUUCUCUACUCCUGCUGGAGGAGACACAAGGGGCUGAAGGAGGGAGUGUACCAUGUGUCUGCGCACCACGGCGAGUGGGAGGAUAUCCGAGAAAACGUGCUCAACUACGACGAGGAAGGAGGAGGGGAGCAGGACCAGAAUGCCUUUAAUAUGGUGGAGCUGCAGCGUUCCCUUCAGCCCAGCCCGGCACAGUCUCUGCGCUACAGCUAUCCUCAAAGCAUGAUCUCCUACCCGCAGACUAAGCUUCCCCAGGACGACAAUAAGAAGCCGGCGUCUAAUGGAAACGGCAGUGCAGCCAUCGCCCUGCGCCUGGCCAUCCCCCCCUCAGAAACAGAAACCCUGCCGUCUCCUCUGACCUUCCGCCGCUCCCAGAAAACUCUUUCCUUCUCCAGCCAGGACUUGGCCCGCUACUUGUGUGAGGUCAUCAGGGACAUGGAGCAGCCAGGGGAGCCUGUUGGCACCAUGACCACGCCACGGCGUUCCUCUGAAAAGGAGCGUGGCCUGACAGCGGUGCACUCCCUCAGCUCCCUCAGUGGAUCUCAGGGUUCAGAGGUCAGGCUUCAGGGGGCCCAGAACACCCGGCUGGACAGGUUCAAAACCCUCCGAGCUGUGGUGAGCGAUUUAAGAGGAGACUCCAAGGCUCCAGAGGACCAGAGAGACAAACUGAAGGAGAGCAGAGGGCCGCUGAACUGCAAGAAGAGUGGGUGAAGCCGCUCAGAGAAACAGAACUGAAGGUUGCAGAAAAGCAACACUAAUCAGAAGACGGCGGAGGAAUUCCAAAGGGAGAUCAUUAAAUGUGAAAUACUCUGAGACUGGGAGAUUCCCAGGGUGUAUGUGAAGUCUGCUCUAAAUGUACUGUAUUGAUAAAACUUUGAACAUUUAAGUUCUUUGAUAUAAAAGAUGUUUACCAAUGAAUGACCAGAUGUGACGUAUUGUUUACUUGACAUUGCACUGUACAGUAUUUAAUCCACAGAAAGCGCUUUUUUUGGAAACGCUCUGUGUCACAACUACUCGUGUCAUAAAACUCUGCAAGUAGGACAGCAAAUGAGUUUCCUGUGAGCGAAGUGGAUUUUCUUUUCUGGUAAUGACUCAUGAAACCAUUUAUGUGAC